ACCGCAGACCGCCUUAUCGCUGUCAGGUCCUUUGGGACAAGAGAGAGGAAAGUCCGGACACCAUAGAGAAGCAUAGCGGGUAACACCCGUCAUCUCGUCUUUUGGGACGAGAUAGGACAAGUGCAACAGAAAGUAUGUACAGGUAAUGCUGUAGUGAAACCAGGUAAACUCUAUGCGGUGAAAUAUCAAGUAUAUCAGCAUUUAAGGGUUUCUCGUCCGUUGCUGAAGGGUAGAUAGCUCGAGUCUUGGAGUAAUUCAAGAUCUAGAUAAAUGAUAAGGUAUUGUCUCGUUGCAAAACGAGACAAGAACAGAAUCCGGCUUACAGGUCUGCAUUUUUU
rnacentral:RNase_P_RNA from 2 species